rnacentral:rRNA from 1 species
GGACGAACGCUGGCGGCGUGCCUAACACAUGCAAGUCGAGCGGAGGUAUUCAAGGAGCAAUCUGCGGAUACUUUAGCGGCGGACGGGUGAGUAACGCGUGAGCAACCUGCCUUUCACAGGGGGAUAAGGCGGCGAAAGCCGCUCUAAUACCGCAUGAGACCCCGGUGGUGAUACCACAGCGGUCAAAGGAGCAAUCCGGUGAGAGAUGGGCUCGCGUCCGAUUAGGUAGUUGGUGGGGUAAAGGCUCACCAAGCCAAUGAUCGGUAGCCGGCCUGAGAGGGUGAACGGCCACAUUGGAACUGAGAGACGGUCCAAACUCCUACGGGAGGCAGCAGUGGGGAAUAUUGGGCAAUGGGGGAAACCCUGACCCAGCAACGCCGCGUGAGGGAAGAAGGUUUUCGGAUUGUAAACCUCUGUUCUUGGGGAUGAGAAAGGACAGUACCCCCAGAAUAAGGCCCGGCUAACUACGUGCCAGCAGCCGCGGUAAUACGUAGGGGCCAAGCGUUAUCCGGAUUUACUGGGCGUAAAGCGCAUGUAGGCGGUCUGCUAAGUCGGACGUGAAAGCCCCUGGCUCAACUAGGGGAGGCUGUUCGAAACUAGUAGACUAGAGGGUGGUAGAGGAGAGCGGAAUUCCAGGUGUAGCGGUGAAAUGCGUAGAUAUCUGGAGGAACACCAGUGGCGAAAGCGGCUCUCUGGCCCACUCCUGACGCUGAGAUGCGAAAGCCAGGGGAGAGAACGGGAUUAGAAACCCCGGUAUUCCUGGCCGUAAACGAUGUCAACUAGGCGUGGGAGGUUAUUGACCCCUUCUGUGCUGUAGCUAACGCGUUAAGUUGACCGCCUGGGGACUACGGCCGCAAGGCUAAAACUCAAAGGAAUUGACGGGUCCCCGCACAAGCAGCGGAGCGUGUGGUUUAAUUCGAGGCUACACGAAGAACCUUACCAGGGUUUGACAUGCUAGUGGUAGUGAAGUGAAAACGGAACGACCCUUCGGGGAGCUAGCACAGGUGCUGCAUGGCUGUCGUCAGCUCGUGUCGUGAGAUGUCAGGUUAAGUCCUGUAACGAGCGCAACCCUCGUCGUUAGUUAUACGUGUCUAACGAGACUGCCCGUGAUAAGCGGGAGGAAGGUGAGGAUGACGUCAAGUCAGCAUGGCCUUUAUAUCCUGGGCUACACACACGCUACAAUGGCCAGUACAGUGGGCAGCCAAGCCGCGAGGCGGAGCCAAUCCCGUAAAGCUGGUCUCAGUUCGGAUUGCAGGCUGCAACUCGCCUGCAUGAAGUCGGAGUUGCUAGUAACCGCGCGUCAGCCAUAGUGCGGUGAAUACGUUCCCGGGGAU